CAUGUUUUAUAUUUUAUUUAUGCGUUUUGUGUAGCGCCUGCAGGGUUGAAAUAUGCUACCCUCUUUGUUUACUGUUGUGCUAUUAUCAGAUAAUAGCUUCUUAUGCUUUCGCCAAAAAGCCUUUUAAAAAUCUGAAAUGUUAGCUGGAUUCACAACGAGUGUAGCUUUAAUUGAGUGUCUUACAUGUGUGAUUUAAUGAAAGUUUGAUUUUUAUAUAAUUUUAUUUGAAUUUGCCGCGCUGCAUUUUCCCUGGCUUUUGGCCAAGUGGGACGCAUACGUACCCUAUACCAUAAGAAGCUAAACUGUUGUUUUGGUCUGUCCUCUUUCGAAGCUAUGAUGAUAGUGACUGAAGAUGGUAUCUUGAUGCAUGGAAGGAAUAAAUUAACGAUAACAGUGUGAACUUCACGCCCCCAACCUGCUGAAGAAAUGGUGUUCACUAUGAACUUAUCCUUCACCACCCCCACCGUGAGACCGGAGUCCGAGCCAGCAACCAGUACACAGCAUCCAGUCGAAGCUAUCAACUUCUCUCAGGAGUGUGACAUGGUUUACACACUCGGAAGCUUAUUGUAAUUUGGAUUCAAAUGCAUUGAGAUACCGAUCUGUCAUUAACAUGCCUCUCGAGACCGUAAAACAGGGACAAACUGGGGCUAUAAUGUUAUAAAGUUAAUACGGGUAAUUUAUGGUCCCGUUUUAUGGUCCACAUUCUAACCUUGUCGGUGUGUGCUAAGUUGAGGGUCUUGAAUUUGAGUGAUAGACUCAACAUGGAGCACUAAGGACUGUCAUUCUAAAUUUGGGUUGUAUAACCAUGAUGAGGACAUUGUUAGUAGGGGUUUUGUUUUACCAUGUUAUCAGAAUUCUAAUGUUAAAGCGCAUCAAUACAUAUGGCUUUCUGGAUGAUACAGUACAAUUGACUUGACUCACUUGACUCACAAAUGUCGUCUUGAAAAUGACCGGACCAAGGUGCAGCGUGGUGAGCGUAAAUGCUAGCUAGCUAAAUGAAUGUUUCAUGUGUUUCGACCAAAUUAAUAUAGUUGGUUCAGAGUUUGUUUUGAUAUUUCAACCUGCGUGUCCUAAUCUGAGUAUGUGAGCAGGGGGCCUGCUCAGCGGUUUAAGAUACUGCAUCGCAGUGUUAGAGGCGUCACUACAGACCCAGGUUCGAUACCAGGCUGUGUCGCAGCUGACCACGACCAGAAGACCCAUGAGGCGACGUACAAUUGGCCCAGCAUCAUCCGGGUUAGGGGAGGAUUUGGCCGGACGGAAUGUCCUUGUCCCAUCCCGCUCUAGCGACUCUGUGUGGCGGGCUGGGCGCAUGCACACUGACUUCGGUCACCAGUUGUACAGUGUUUCCUCCGACACAUUGGUGCGGCUGGCUUCCGGGUUAAGUGUCAAGAUGCUGUGUGGCAGGGUUGUGUUUCGGAGGAUGCAAGGCUCGUGACCUCCGCCUCUCCCGAGUCCGUAUGGGAGCUGCAGUGAUGGGACAAUACUGUAACUACCAAUUGGAUAUUACAAAAAAAGGGGAAUAUAAAUAAAUUAGUUUGGGUUGGCAAUUCUGCUCAUCGAUCAUGGAGCGGUGCUACAUGUCCUUUCCUACCGCUCACAGAAAAAAAGAAACUCCCGCUGUAUUUAUUAGAAUCACAAUUUAACCAACACCCAUCUAUUUUUGUGACUACCUGGACCUACCAAUUGGUAUUUAAGUAUUGAAACCAAACCAUACGGAUUUGAAUGAAAAGUAUUUGAAUAAACAUGAAAAGGUGAAUGUAAGAAAUUAACGUAAUUUCAAAUAGACUAGCUAUCAGUAAUUUUCAAAUCUGACUUCUCUAUGUGGCCGUGUAUGGAAAUUGUCUUUCCAUACAAUGGUCGUCUGUUAAGUUGUAGUAAUGAAGCAAAACUGUAGGAGCUAUCGAAACCGUUAUUCUAGACCGGAACCCUGGCGCCUUGACUAAAACAAGCUGGUGAGCUAUAGGGAGAAGGCAGUAUGGGUUUUCGAGAGCCAUAUAGUAGCUAGCGACUACAUGAUAAUGAUGGCAAAGUUGUUUCCUACUAAACAUUUUCCUACUUUAGCAAUACCAUCAUAAAGUGAAUCUGUAAAGAAUUCAGACCCCUUGACUUGUUCCACAUUUUGUUACGUUACAGCCUUAUUCUAAAAUUGAUUCAAUAGUUUUUUUCUCUCACCUAUCUACACACAAUACCCCAUAAUGACAAAGCAAAAUACGUUUUUUAUACACUUUUGCAAAUGUAUAGAAAAAAAAACUGAAAUAUCACAUUUAAAUAAGUAUUCAGACCCUUUACUUAGUACUUUGUUGAAGCACGUUUGGCAGCGAUUACAGCCUCGAGUCUUCUUGGGUAUGGCGCUACAAGCUUGGCACACCUGUAUUUGGGGAGUUUCUCCCAUUCUUCUCUACAGAUCCUAUCAAGCUUUGUGGGGAGCGUGGGGAGAGUGGGGACUGUGUACUGGGCACUGGCUGGGCCACUCAAGGACAUUCAGAGACUAGUUCUGUAGCCAUUCCUGCACUGUCUUGGCUGUGUGCUUAGGGUCGUUGUCCUGUUGAAAGGUUAACUGUCGCCCCAGUCUGAGGUCCUCAGUGCUCUGGAGCAGGUUUUCAUCAAGGAUCUCUCUGUACUUUGCUCCGUUCAUCUUUCCCUCUAUCCUGACUAGCAUCCCAGUCCCCGAAAAGGAGAAACAUCCUCACAGCAUGAUGCUACCACCACCAUGCUUCACCAUAGGGAUGGUGCCAGGUUUCCUCCAGACAUGACGCUUGACCAUAAAGGCCUGAUUGGUGGUGUUUUGCAGAGAUGUUUGUCCUUCUGGAAUGUUCUCCCAUCUUCACAGAGGAACUCUGGAGCCCUGUCAGAGUGACCAUCGGGUUCUUGGUCACCUUCCUGACCAAGUACCUUCUCUCCCGAUUGCUCAGUUUGGCCAAGCAGCUAGCUCCAGGAAGAAUUGUGGUUGUUCCAAACUUCUUCCAUUUAAGAAUGAUGGAGGCCACUGUGUUCUUGCAGACCUUCAAUGCUUCAGACAUGUUUUGGUACCCUUCCCCAGAUCUGUGCCUCGACACAAUCCUGUCUCAGAGCUCUACAGACAAUUCCUUCAACCUCAUGGCUUGUUUUCUGCUCUGACUGCACUGUCAACUGUGGGACCUUAUAUUGACAGGUUGAAUCAAGCCUUUCCAAUCAAUUUAAUUAGCCACAGAUGGUCUCUAAUCAAGUUGUUGAAACAUCUCAAGGAUAAUCAAUGGAAACAGGAUGUACUUGAGCUCAAUUUCAAGUCUCAUAGCAAAGGGUCUGAAUACGUAUGUAAAUAAGGUAUCAGUUUUUAAUUUUUAACACAUGCUUCACCAUUAUGGAGUAUUGUGUGUAGAUUGAUAAGGACAAAUAAAUAUUUAAUACAUUUUAGAAUAAGGCUGUAACGUAAAAAAAUGUGGCAAAAGUCAAGGGGUCUGAAUUUCCGAAUGCACUGUAUGUCCAUACCACUAUAGUGCGUGGCCACGCAGUCGUGGGUGAACAGGGAGUACAGGAGAGGGCUCAGAACGCACCCUUGUGGGGCCCCAGUGUUGAGGAUCAGCGGGGUGGAGAUGUUGUUGCCUACCCUCACCACCUGGGGGCGGCCCGUCAGGAAGUCCAGUACCCAGUUGCACAGGGUGGGGUCGAGACCCAGGGUGUCGAGGUUGAUGACGAGCUUGGAGGGCACUAUGGUGUUAAAUGCCGAGCUGUAGUCGAUGAAAAUAAUUCUCACAUAGGUAUUCCUCUUGUCCAGAUGGGUUAGGGCAGUGUGCAGUGUGGUUGAGAUUGCAUCGUCUGUGGACCUAUUUGGGCGGUAAGCAAAUUGGAGUGGGUCUAGGGUGUCAGGUAGGGUGGAGGUGAUAUAGUGCAAUUUAGACAAAACCGUCAUUAACCUCCGUCUAUCACAACUUUUGGGCACCAGUAGGGUUCCGCCGGCAGAGGGCGGCUUGAGAACGUUCAUAACAAUGGCAUGAAAAGACCCAGUGACAGCAGUGCAACCUAUAAAUAGCAGCAUUUGUUGAGCAUUUGUCUAUUUUGCCAGCUCUCAGACUGUUGGUGUCUGUCUGUCUGUCUGUCUGUCUGUCUGUCUGUCUGUCUGGGAGUUCCAGACGUGGCUGGGAGGAGUGGUGGUGGCCACUGGAAGGCAACUUUACUAGAGCAUAUGUAGGAGCUCAUCGUCAUGAAGUUCAUCUAUAACAGCUGAUACAAUUCGUCUUCUUCCAAGCUGGAUCUACGGAACGCCUACCACCUGGUGCGGAUACGAGAGGGGGACGAGUGGAAGACGGCCUUCAACGCGGCCAGUGGUCAAUACGAAUAUCUGGUCAUCACAUUUGACCAGCGCCCCUGCUGUGUUCCAGGCUCUGGUGAAUGAUGUUCUCCACGACAUGUUUUACCGGUUCAUCUUUGUCUACAUUGAUGACAUCCUCGUCUUCUCCCGCUCCCCUCAAGAACACAUGCUCCACGUCCGGUAGGUCCUUCAAAGCCUUCUGGAGAAUCAGCUGUUUGUGAAGGCGGAGAAGUACGAGUUCCAUCACUCCACCAUCCCCUUUCUGGGUUACAUCAUCUCUGCUGGGAGUUUCCAGAUGGAUCCCGGGAAGGUGAGAGCAGUGAUGGAAUAGCUCAGCCUACGUCCAGGGUGCCGCUGCAACGUUUCAUGGGGAUCGGCAAUUUCUAUCGCAGCUUUAUCCGGGUUUACAGCACCCUGGAUUACCCCCUGUCAGCACUCACCUCGCCCAAGUUUGCUGUUCACACAGUUCAACUUCUCUCUCUCGAACCGGCAGGGAUCCAAUAAUGUCAAGCCGGAUGCACUGUCCCGCCACUAUAGACCCAUGACAACUACCCGAAACCAUCCCUCCCACCUCAUGUCUGCCGACGGCACUCAGCUGGGGAAUAGGGAAGCAGGUCAGUGAGGCACAAACAGCAGCCAAACUCUUGGGGGGGUCCUUCAUUCCCGACACUGUGCGCUCCGCAGUCCUGGAGUGGGACCACUCCUCCAGGCUGGUCUGCCACCCGGGUACCCAUCGGACCCUGGCCUUUGUGCGACAGCGCUUUUGGUGGCCUACCAUGGUCGCGGAUGUGUCCGCAUUCAUCACCGCUUGCACAGUUUGUGCACAGAACAAGACUCCUCGGCAAGCUCCGUCUGGUCUGCACCAACCUCUGCCUGUCCCCCACUGUCCCUGGUCUCACAUCUCCCUGGACUUUGUCACGGGUCCUCCCCCACCUGAUGUCAACACCGUCAUCCUGACUGUGGUGGAUCUGUUCUCCAAAGCCACCCAUUUCAUUCCUUUCCCAAAAUACCCUCUGCCAAAUAGACCGCCCAGCUCACGGUACAGCACGUCUUCCGGAUCCAUGGACUGCCCAUUGACAUGGUCUCCGACCGGGGCUCUCAGUUCUCCAUCCCAGUUCUGGAAGGCAUUCUACACCCUCAUUGGGUUGUCGGCCAGCCUGUCCUCCGGGUUCCACCCCGAGUCCAACGACCAGUCGGAGCGAGCCAACCAGGACAUCGAGACCACCCUGCGCUGCCUGGUUUCCGCCAAACCCACCACUUGGAGCCAGUAGCUUGUGUGGGUCGAAUAUGCCCGCAACACUCUUCCCUGCUCUGCCACGGGCCUAUCUCCCUUCGAGUGUUUUCCUGGGGUAUCAGCCCCCACUCUUCCCUGAGCAGGAAGAGGUGGUCGGCAUACCUUCUGCCCAGAUGUUUGUCCUCUGCUGUCGUCGUACCUGGAGGAGAGCCCGGUCGGCCCUCCUCAAGACCACCUCCAGGUAUCGAUGACAAACGGAUCGCCAUCGGACCCCGGUAUCAUCUCGGGCAGAAGGCCCACCCCUACUCCCGUGUCGUCGAUGGCCAUCCGGCAUACACGGUGAGACGCCUCCUGAGGGUUCGACCACGGGGCAGAGGUUUCCAGUACCUGGUUGAGUGAGAGGGUUAUGGCCUGGAGUAGAGGUGCUGGGACCCCGCUAGAGACAUCCUGGUCCCCGCUAGAGACCUCAUCGCCGACUUCCACCACUGGCACCCCGGUCAACCAGGUAUGCGCCCAGUUCGUCUUGUUUGUCAAGCUUGCCAGCGUUUGUCCUGUCAGCUCCUGUUUUUUCCUAGUCUCUCUUUUUCUCGCCCUCCUGGUUUUUGACCCUUGCCAGUCCUGACCCUGAACCUGCCCAACUGACCACUCUGCCUCUGACCCUGAGCCUGCCUGUCGUCCUGUACCUUUGCCUCUGUUGCUGUAAUAAACAUUGUUACUUCGACACAGUCUGCAUCUGGGUAUUUCCUUAUCCUGAUACUAAUUCAUAUUUAUUUAAUGUACAGGUUCCACUUUGACCAAGAUUACAAUCCAGACUAAGAAUUUGCAAAAGUUAAGAUCAUAAUGAAUACUAUUAUAUGGAUAGAGUGGACCUGAUCCUAGAUCAACACUACUAUGGUGGCGAAUUCUCUCUCCAUCAUCCUUUUUUUGACUUCAUAUUGACCCCGUGGUAUAUGAUUAGCAGAUGCGUUUGAGUGGACAUACAGAUCUGGGACUAGGCUAACAACAGAAGCUCUUCUCAACUAUUGGCAAGAAUUUAAUUCACAUCCAUUCACCAUGAGCGAUGCUUUAUUCCGCAUUCAAUACUUCUAUUGCAGGAGAGAGAAGCACCUAUCAGAUCCCCCCUGCUGACCGUCGCUGAGGCCAGGAAGAAGUUUGUCUGCCGAAGUAGGAGACAACUUCGUAGUCAUAAAGCGCUCUACUGACUGAGCUAGACUAUGCUUUGAGUAGCAACUGAUUGAUUGACUGACAGGCAGUCAGAGACACAAACUCUCACAUUUGACUUGACCUUAUAUUGGACAGCACUCUACUCACACUCACACAUGUGGUCGUGGUGGCUCAGUUGGUAGAGCAUGGCGCUUGUAACGCCAGGGUAGUGGGUUCGAUUCCCGGGACCACCCAUACGUAGAAUGUAUGCACACAUGACUGUAAGUCGCUUUGGAUAAAAGCGUCAGCUAAAUGGCAUAUAUUAUUAUUAUUAUUAUUAUAUUACAUAUCCUCCCCUCUCUCUCUUUCAUCUUCC